rnacentral:rRNA from 1 species
UUGACCAUCUUUUAAUCGAGAUUUUGCCUUCGGGUUACAAUUGAGACAGGUGGUGCAUGGUUGUCGUCAGCUCGUGUCGUGAGAUGUUGGGUUAAGUCCCGCAACGAGCGCAACCCUUGUCCUUAGUUACCAGCACGUUAUGGUGGGCACUCUAAGGAGACUGCCGGUGACAAACCGGAGGAAGGUGGGGAUGACGUCAAGUCAUCAUGGCCCUCACGGCCUGGGCUACACACGUGCUACAAUGGUCGGUACAAAGGGUUGCCAAGCCGCGAGGUGGAGCUAAUCCCAUAAAACCGAUCGUAGUCCGGAUCGCAGUCUGCAACUCGACUGCGUGAAGUCGGAAUCGCUAGUAAUCGUGAAUCAGAAUGUCACGGUGAAUACGUUCCCGGGCCUU